AUACGGAGGAUGCAAGCGUUAUCCGGAUUUAUUGGGUUUAACGGGUUCGUAGGCGGAAAAUUAAGUCAGUGGUGAAAGCCUGCAGCUCAACUGCAGAACUGCCAUUGAUACUGAUUUUCUUGAAUUUAUAUGAAGUGGGCGGAAUGCGUCAUGUAGCGGUGAAAUGCACAGAUAUGACGCAGAACACCAAUUGCGAAGGCAGCUCACUAAUGUAAUAUUGACGCUGAGGAACGAAAGCAUGGGGAGCGAACAGAAUUAGAAACCCCAGUAGUCC
rnacentral:rRNA from 1 species